CAAAAUGUAGCUUAAUUAAAGCAUUUCGCUUACACCGAAAUAAUAUCUGUGAGACUCUGAUCAUUUUGA
rnacentral:tRNA from 1 species